rnacentral:lncRNA from 1 species
UGACCAAAAUAGUCAAUUGACCCGCUAAGGAGUUAUUGCCCUUCAUAGUCAAUUUUUAACAAUUUUCUUAAAAUUUGAAGAUUUUCAAUAACAUUUUCCACAGAAAGCACUGUUAUAGAUAGAGAUAAUUGUAACCAGCAAGAAUGUUUAGUAAAGUAAGAUCUACAAACACAUCACCAAAACACAGUUUUGUCAUGAAUCCAUCUGUGUCCAUUGUUUAAUAUUCACAUAGACCAAGGUGAGCGACACAGGCUCUUUAGAGCCUCUAAUUUU